CUGGUCUAACUGCUAUUGCAGAAACAUUCACAUUGCAGCCCCUGUCAGAUUCCAACAAAUCUGUGAAUUCUGCU
rnacentral:ribozyme from 1 species